AUUGAACGCUGGCGGCGUGCUUAACACAUGCAAGCCGAUCGGUAACAGGUGUAGCAAUACAUGCUGACGAGAGGCGGACGGGUGAGGAACGCUUGGGAAUCUGCCUAUCAGCGGGGGACAACCCGGGGAAACUCGGGCUAAUACCGCAUACGCUCUACGGAGGAAAGCCGGGGACCGCAAGGCCUGGCACUGAUAGAUGAGCCCAAGCCGGAUUAGCUAGUUGGCGGGGUAACGGCCCACCAAGGCGACGGUCCGUAGCUGGUCUGAGAGGACGAUCAGCCACAACGGAACUGAGACACGGUCCGGACUCCUACGGGGGGCAGCAGCGGGGAAUAUUGGACGAUGGGCGAAAGACUGAUCCAGCGACGCCGCGUGGGUGAAGAAGGCCUGCGGGUUGUAAAGCCCUUUCGGUAGGGACGAAAGCUCUCGACCUAACACGUCGGGAGGUUGACUUAACCUACAAAAGAAGCACCGGCUAACUCUGUGCCAGCCGCCGCCGUAAUAC
rnacentral:rRNA from 1 species